rnacentral:rRNA from 1 species
GGUUUCGGCCUUAGUGGCGGACGGGUGAGUAACGCGUAGGUAUCUAUCCACGGGUGGGGGAUAACGUCGGGAAACUGACGCUAAUACCGCAUGAUGCCUGAGGGCCAAAGGCGCGAGUCGCCUGUGGAGGAGCCUGCGUACGAUUAGCUAGUUGGUGGGGUAAAGGCCUACCAAGGCGACGAUCGUUAGCUGGUCUGAGAGGAUGAUCAGCCACACUGGGACUGAGACACGGCCCAGACUCCUACGGGAGGCAGC